AGAGAGAGAGAGAGAGAGAGAGAGAGAUAGAGAGAGAGAGAGAAUCAAAAUUUUGCUGAUACAAUACAACUGGGGGGAAAUGAUGAGACUGUUUCUGUGACAGGUUACUCAAGGGAUGAGAUAGCAAUAGAAGAGAUCAUGGACAAGAGAGACUUCUGGCACCAACAACAUUUAAUCAUCCAAAUCAGUGGUCCUGUCUGAAAUUGUCUGGAAUUCAUCUUAAAAUCCAAUGCUCAGAUCUGGCACUCACAUUCCUGCUUCCAAGUCAUUUUCCUGUGUGUGAGCUGACAAUUUCAUCCAUGAUUACACUGUUUCAUUGCUAUUUCUGAGGGACCACUUUGUCAUUUUUCUUCCUAAAGACAGGCUUCAAGUAUAGCAUCUUCUCAAGUAUAUCUUUCUCCAAAGGACUUGCACCUCAAACAGAUGGAUAUUUCUUGAUAUCUCCAGCUGUUGCAAAGCAAAUCCAGACCAUUCCCUGGUGCCCAUCCUUUCUGUUCUUCUUGCAUCACAGGCUGGAUGGAGCCAGGCAGCUAACUUUAGCAUCUUGCAAGCUAUCUUUUUCUGAAUUCAUCUUCUUGUCCUGGCAACCAUGUGGAGCCUGCACAUUAAACUUCCAGCUUUUUUGUUGUCUACUGCUGCAUCUAAUUCCAGUCUUAGAACUACACAGAUGCCUUGUUUGCUGCAUGUCCACCUGAAACAAAGCCAUCCAUCAACUGUCUUUACAGUUUCAGGAGAACAGAGUCAUCAACAUAAAUAUAGGCAGACAUCAAACUGCCAUGGAUCAAAAGUCCUGUUAUAGUGUGAUCUCACAAACUCUUAUGUAGCAAGUGCUCCAAUUGAGUUCAGCUGUUGUUUGGCUGUCUACCUUCUGAGGUUCUUCUUUGCCUACUACUGUUGGGGUUAAUUAAGAUUUACUGCUCCCUGUGAAUCUUCAGUCAACAAAGCAACAGUCUUGAGAAGAGCUCAAAGAAUCUGACCUUGGAAAAAGUAUCGAUAUAUCUUUUGGUUUUUGCUAAAGAAAUGCCAAAUUUCACAGCAGGAUCACUGAAUGCUCCAACAAGAGAAAGAUAAUGAAUCAACUGCCUUCUUGUCCUAAAAUCCUGUUUGUCUUCUUGCUUACACUAAAUUCAUAUCACCACAAUGCACAUCCAAAAAUCUUUAAGGUGGGACACAAGUGUCACUCUCAAUGAGGAAGAUUGGAUCGCUUGAUCAAGAUCCAGAUGUUGGGCUUCUCUUCUUUCCCUCCUCACAGAUGCAUAAUGACCUACAAAUAAGGGAAACAGAACACAACUGAGGUACCUCCACCUCUUCUUUUCCUCUGCUUCACCAAAUCAUUGGACCAUAAUGUCAUGAAUCAACCACUCAGAUUGAAAUCCAAGUGAAAUGUUCUUGGAAAUUCCAUGGUUUGAAGCCGAGACACGUAGCGACCUCGUCUUGUUUGGCUGGCCAUGUUUUCUUCCAGCUGAAGGAAGAACCAGUUGCAUGCAGGUGAAGCUAAUCCAUGGAGGCAGAUGAAUUGUCACUGUUUCAGUAGAUUACAGGGUAUGAGAAAGGGCAAGAAGUUGUCUUUAAUCUUCAGUGAAGGUGAAGGCUUUGAAUUAUUACUAUCAAGAAUACUUGGAUACAAUUAUUACUCAAUAUCAAUUCUUCUUACUAUUAAGAUUUGCACAUCUAUACUGCUUAAUGUUCAUUGCUGUUGCACGCAAAGUUCCAUGGAGUAUGUUUGCCUUGACUGUUUGUUGAUCUCACUCUUCUGAGGUUUUCUGUGAACAUGCCUGUGAAAAGUGUUUUGGAGAAUUAGUACUGAUGAAUUAAGAGAACACAC